UACGGAGGAUGCAAGCGUUAUCCGGAUUCAUUGGGUUUAAAGGGUGCGUAGGCGGGCUAUUAAGUCAGUGGUGAAAUCCUGCAGCUUAACUGCAGAACUGCCGUUGAUACUGAUAGUCUUGAGUUUGGUUAAGGUAGGCGGAAUGUGUAAUGUAGCGGUGAAAUGCUUAGAUAUUACACAGAACACCAAUUGCGUAGGCAGCUUACUGAGCCGACACUGACGCUGAGGCUCGAAAGCGUGGGGAGCAAACAGGA
rnacentral:rRNA from 1 species